rnacentral:lncRNA from 1 species
AGAAGGGAAGUGGGAGAGACUUAGAAGCUGGCCAGCAGGGAAGCUGCUGAUGGGAAAAUGACUGUCAAGGGUUUUCUGUACAUACUAGCGGCAUCACACUGGGAUUCAAUUUUUUUUUUCUCUUUAUCACUCCUGUAGGUAAGGAGGAGAAAAGAAAGAAAGAAAAAUUGGAAAGAUAAAUGGGGUCUUCCAGUGAAGCUGCAGUUAUGGCAUUAACCUCCCAGUUGUUACCUACUUCUAGAUGAAAAAGAAAAAGCUCCACUUCUGGAUUUGUUUUGUUAUGCCCAGACCGUUUGUUCCCCAAAGAAGACCACCAGAGUCCAGAGUCAAAGCCAAGCGGCAAGGAUCUUUACUGCAAGUUCGAACUUGGUUCCUCCAUUCCACAGCGUACAAGAGGGCCCCGAACAAUGUGAGUGCUUGCUUUUUAUAGCCCGAUGUAAACAGGAUAUGUAAAGUUACAGGGGAACAAGGUAAUUCUCUCAGUUACAGCACAUUUAGCAUUUUUUAUUGGUUCCCGCUGUGUCCUUAUCGGGGAUUUCCUAGGUGGUGUUUUUCUGAAGUUUGAGAGAAAUAUGGAGGAAUGUGUUUGUGCUGGGCUCAGGAAGUUGGGAGAUAUAUGGGGGAUGUGCCUCAUUCCUUUCAGUUUCUGCUAAUAAUAGAUAAUAAAAUGUGUGUUGUCAACAGAUAACAAUAUUAGAACUUAAAUAUAUUAGGAUAGUUUUAAUGGAGUAUUAAAAUUAUUUGCAAUUUGAUAUGAAUAUAAGGCAUGUUAUAAAGUGUGGAGCAUUUUCUGGCAGACUCCUUUUAUUCCAAGCGUAUAUGGAAAAUUGCAUAAUGCUGAACUGCAAGAAGAUGAAGACAAACUGAUGUCUACUUUGAAAUAAGUAUAUUAAAUAGUUCACAUACUUUAUCUCUGCAAAUGUGGUUCUCUGCUCCUAAUAACACUAUAGCUGGCUAAAAUUUAUACAAUACUUUUUCCAUUGAGUUAGAAAUUGUUCCCUUUUCAGAGAGAG